UUUUCGAGCUCUUGUCCGAUGACUCACGUUUCCUCCGCAAAGUUUUUCGUAAGGAAAAGCUCGUUGGGAGCGUGGAUUUCUAGUGAGAUCCCAAUGCGCGGUAUGGCGAGUUUGGACGAUAUUGGUGUAUUUGGGCGAAGUUCGUGUUCAAAAAUCCGCAAGUAAAUAGUAAUUUCUCAUGCCUAUAAGAUGGGAGGUAAUUUCUUCACAAUCUUUACACUUACUCAUUCUCA
rnacentral:lncRNA from 1 species